GCGAGCUACGAAUUGGGCGCAUGAUGGAUGCCUUGGCGCCAGGGGGCGACGAAGGACGCGGCAGGCUGCGAUAAGCCCCGGGGAGCGGCGAGCGCGCUUUGAUCCGGGGGUGUCCGAAUGGGGUAACCCGGGCCGGGUAAUGCCGGCCCACCGCGCGGCAUGGCGCCGCGCGGGGCGAGACCCGCCGAAGUGAAACAUCUCAGUAGGCGGAGGAAGAGGAAGCGAAAGCGAUUCCGCCGGUAGCGGCGAGCGAAAGCGGAACAUUGCCCAAACCCCGGCGCUUGCGCCGGGGGGUUGAUAGGACCGCGACGUGGGCGGGCGGGGGCUAGGCCGAAGCGGCUGGAAAGCCGCCCCGGAGAGGGUGAGAGGCCCGUGGCCGAAAGCCCCCGAGCGCCCUAGCGGCAUCCUGAGUAGCGCGGCACACGUGGAACGCCGCGCGAAUCCGGGCGGACCACCGCCCAAGGCUAAAUACCACCUGGCGACCGAUAGUGAACGAGUACCGCGAGGGAAAGGUGAAAAGCACCGCCGUGAGCGGAGUGAAACAGCACCUGAAAUCAUGCGCCCGCAAGGUGUCGGAGCCCGGCCUCGUGCCGGGUGACGGCGUGCCUUUUGCUUAAUGAGUCUGCGAGUUAGCCUCGGCGGCGAGCCUAAGGGCCGGGAAGAAGGCCCGGAGGCGCAGCGAAAGCGAGUCCGAAACGGGCGAACCUAGUCGCCGGGGCUAGACCCGAAGCGGAGGUGAUCUACCCUUGGCCAGGAUGAAGCCCGGGUAAAACCGGGUGGAGGUCCGGACCGGUGAACCUUGAGAAGUUCUCGGAUGAGCUGAGGGUAGGGGUGAAAGGCCAAUCAAACCCCGUGAUAGCUGGUUCUCCCCGAAAUGCAUUGAGGUGCAGCCCCGGAGCGCUGACGGGCGGAGGUAGAGAUACUGAAUGGACUAGGGCCCCUGGCGGGGUGCUGAAUCCAGCCAAACUCCGAAUGCCGCCCGGAGAAGCCCGGGAGUGAGGCCGCGGGGGAUAAGCUCCGCGGCCGAGAGGGAAAAAGCCCAGACCGCCGGCCAAGGCGCCCCAAUGCCGUGAAGUGGAAAGGAUGUGGCCCCGCGCUGACAGUGAGGAUGUUGGCUUAGAAGCAGCCACCAUUUAAACAGUGCGUAACAGCUGACUCAUCGACGCGGGGCCGCGCCGAAAAUGAUUGGCGAUCCAACGGCAUGCCGAAGCCGCGGGCGCGCGCGCCCCACGGGGCGCGCGCGCGGUAGGGGAGCGUCCCGGGCCCGCCGAAGCCAGGGCGGAAGCCCUGGUGGAGGGCCCGGGAGAGAGGAUGCAGACAUGAGUAGCGAUAAGGCCGGUGGAAGUCCGGCCCGCCGAAAGCCCGAGGUUUCCUGGGGAAGGUUCGUCCGCCCAGGGUCAGUCGGGACCUAAGCCCCAGCCGCACGGCGAGGGGCGAUGGACAGAGCAGGCAAAACAUUCCUGCACCACCGAAACUUAACCGGCGGUGACGCGGGAUCCCAGAGGGGGGCCGGGCGACGAUCGCCCCGGCCCCGCAAGGGGACGCGGAGGCCACGGCCGAAGCGGAUCCCCCGAAGGGCCCGCCGAGAAAAGCCGCCGGGCAUGAUAAGGUGCCCGUACCGCAAACCGACACAGGUGGGCUGGUAGAGGAUACCAAGGCGCGCGGGUGAAGUCUCCUGAAGGAACUCGGCAAUCUGGCCCCGUAACCUCGGAAGAAGGGGCCCCCCCGGCCGCGAGGCCGGGGGGCGCAGUGAAAGGGGUCAACCGACUGUUUACCAAAAACACAGCGCUCUGCGAAGCCGCGAGGCGACGUAUAGGGUGUGACACGUGACCAAUGCGGAAAGAUUAAGGCGAGGGGUGCGAGCCCCGGACCCAAGUCCCCGCGAAUGUCGGCCGUAACUAUAACGGUCCUAAGGUAGCGAAAUUCCUUGUCGGGUAAGUUCCGACCUGCACGAAUCGUGUAACGAGUUGACCGCUGUCUCCAGGAGAUGCCCGGCGAAAUUGUAGUGGCGGUGAAGAUGCCGCCUGCCCGCAGCAGGACGGAAAGACCCUAUGCACCUUUACUGUAAGCUGCCGUUGCGUCCCUGGCGCGGAUACUUAGCGUAAGCGGGAGGCUUUGAAUGCCCGGUCCAGGCCGGGCGGGAGCCGCCAAUGAAACACCGCCUUUCCGCGCCGGGGCCGCUAACCCCGGCGCCACCGGGGGACCGCGGCAGCGGGUCAGUUUGACUGGGGCGGUCUCCUCCCAAAAGGUAACGGAGGAGCGCGAAGGUCGGCUCAGGCUGGUUGACAAUCAGCCCUCAAGAACGCAUGGGCAGAAGCCGGCUUGACUGCGAGACCCACAAGUCGAGCAGGCGCGAAAGCGGGCCCAAGUGAUCCGGCGGUGGAGAGUGGAAUCGCCGUCGCUCAUCGGACAAAAGGUACGCUAGGGAUAACAGGCUGAUCGGGCCCAAGAGUUCAUAUCGACGGCCCGGUUUGGCACCUCGAUGUCGGCUCGUCGCAUCCUGGGGCUGGAGAAGGUCCCAAGGGUCCGGCUGUUCGCCGGUUAAAGCGGCACGCGAGCUGGGUUCAGAACGUCGUGAGACAGUUCGGUCCUCUAUCCGCUGCGGGCGCCAGGAGAUCUGAGGGGCACACACCCUAGUACGAGAGGACCGGGUGUGACGCGCCCCUGGUGUUCCGGUUGUCGCGUCAGCGGCAGCGCCGGGUAGCUAUGCGCGGGAGGGAUAAGCGCUGAAAGCAUCUAAGCGCCAAGCCCCCCCCAAGAUGAGAUCUCCCAACGAGGCCCGGGGCAGACCACCCCGUCGAUAGGCCGGGGGUGCACGCGCCGCGAGGCGCUCAGCCAACCGGUACUAAUAGGCCCACAGGCUCGCCCCC
rnacentral:rRNA from 1 species